UAGGGAAUCUUCGGCAAUGGGGGGAACCCUGACCGAGCAACGCCGCGUGAGUGAAGAAGGUUUUCGGAUCGUAAAGCUCUGUUGUUAAGGAAGAACGAGUGUGAGAAUGGAAAGUUCAUGCUGUGACGGUACUUAACCAGAAAGGGACGGCUAACUACGUGCCAGCAGCCGCGGUAAUACGUAGGUGGCAAGCGUUGUCCGGAUUUAUUGGGCGUAAAGCGAGCGCAGGCGGUCAAUUAAGUCUGAUGUGAAAGCCCCCGGCUCAACCUGGGAGGGUCAUUGGAAACUGGUUGACUUGAGUGCAGAAGAGGAGAAUGGAAUUCCAUGUGUAGCGGUGAAAUGCGUAGAUAUAUGGAGGAACACCAGUGGCGAAGGCGACUCUCUGGUCUGUAACUGACGCUGAGGUUCGAAAGCGUGGGUAGCAAACAGG
rnacentral:rRNA from 1 species